rnacentral:sRNA from 1 species
UGCUUUCUGUGCCUUUUCGGUAAUGUU